GUGCCAGCCGCCGCGGUAAGACAGAGGGGGCAAGCGUUGUCCGGAAUCACUGGGCGUAAAGCGCACGCAGGCGGCCCGGCAAGUGAGGUGUGACAGCGGACGGCUUAACCGUCCGACGCCAUCUCAGACUGCCGAGCUUGAGCCGUGCAGAGGUCAGCGGAAUUGCCGGUGUAGGAGUGACAUCCGUAGAGACCGGCAGGAACACCGAUGGGGAAGCCAGCUGACUGGGCACGUGCUGACGCUCAGGUGCGACAGCGUGGGGAGCGAACCGGAUUAGAUACCCGCGUAGUCC
rnacentral:rRNA from 1 species